AAGUCGUAACAAGGUCUCCGUUGGUGAACCAGCGGAGGGAUCAUUACAGAGUUGCAAAACUCCAACAAACCAUCGCGAAUCUUACCCGUACGGUUGCCUCGGCGCUGGCGGUCCGGAAGGCCCUCGGGCCCCCGGAUCCGUCGGUCUCCGGCUCGCCGGGAGGCUGCCCGGCCGGAGUGCCCGAACCAAACUCUUGAUAAUUUAUGUCUUCUCUGAGUAACUUUAAAUAAGUCAAACA
rnacentral:misc_RNA from 1 species